CAAUAGCGUAUAUUAAAGUUGUUGCAGUUAAAAAGCUCGUAGUUGGAUUUCUGGUGGGAGCAAUCGGUCUGGCGCUUAGCGCGAGUACUUGCAUCGUCUCCGGCCAUCCUUGGGGAGAGUCUGUCUGGCAUUAAGUUGUCGGGCAGAGGAUCCUCAUCGUUUACUGUGAAAAAAUUAGAGUGUUCAAAGCAGGCUUAUGCCGUUGAAUAUAUUAGCAUGGAAUAAUAAGAUAGGACUUUGGUACUAUUUCGUUGGUUUGCGCACCAAAGUAAUGAUUAAUAGGGACAGUUGGGGGUAUUCGUAUUCCGUUGUCAGAGGUGAAAUUCUUGGAUUUACGGAAGACGAACUACUGCGAAAGCAUUUACCAAGGAUGUUUUCAUUAA
rnacentral:rRNA from 1 species